GCAACUGUAGUUUAGGGGCAGAAUUGAAGCUUCCCAAGCUUUAGGUCCGGGUUCGAUUCCCGGCAGUUGCA